rnacentral:rRNA from 1 species
UACGAAGGGGGCUAGCGUUGCUCGGAAUUACUGGGCGUAAAGGGCGCGUAGGCGGAUAGUUUAGUCAGAGGUAAAAGCCCAGGGCUCAACCUUGGAACUGCCUUUGAUACUGGCUAUCUUGAGUUCGGGAGAGGUGAGUGGAAUGUCGAGUGUAGAGGUGAAAUUCGUAGAUAUUCGGCGGAACACCAGUGGCGAAGGCGACUCACUGGCCCGAUACUGACGCUGAGGCGCGAAAGCGUGGGGAGCAAACAGG